GAUGAACGCUGGCGGCGUGCCUAAUACAUGCAAGUCGAGCGAACAGACGAGGAGCUUGCUCCUCUGACGUUAGCGGCGGACGGGUGAGUAACACGUGGAUAACCUACCUAUAAGACUGGGAUAACUUCGGGAAACCGGAGCUAAUACCGGAUAAUAUAUUGAACCGCAUGGUUCAAUAGUGAAAGACGGUUUUGCUGUCACUUAUAGAUGGAUCCGCGCCGCAUUAGCUAGUUGGUAAGGUAACGGCUUACCAAGGCGACGAUGCGUAGCCGACCUGAAAGAGUGGACGGCCACACUGGAGCUGAGACACGGUCCAGACUCCUACGGGAGGCAGCAGUCGGGAAUCUUCCGCAGUGGGCGAAGGCCUGACGGAACAACGCCGCGUGAGGGAUGAGGGUCUUCGGAUCGUAAAACUCUGUUAUUAGGGAAGAACAAAUGUGUAAGUAACUAUGCACGUCUUGACGGUACCUGAUCAGAAAGCCACGGCUAACUACGUG
rnacentral:rRNA from 1 species